ACAGAAUAAACAUUUCGUGUGGACAAUGAAGACGUUUAUCUGUUUUCUUCUGCUGGUAACAGUAUCACUCGCUAGGAUAAUUAAUCGAUGCGGGCCUGUGUGUGCUAAUUUAUGCCUUUACGGUCACGAGGCUGAUGCAAAUGGUUGCCCAACGUGCACCUGUAAUCAAGCUCCUGUCAGACUGACGGAGUGCCACACCAGUGGAACGUACUGCAAGAUACUCUGUCCAAACGGAAUGGUAACAGACAAAGACGGAUGUCCGCUGUGCCAGUGUAUUCUUUAACAUUUCACGUGGUUAGCAUGCAUUUGAUGUGAUCUUGGUGUGACCUAGCUGCAUCUGAAGAAAUUCCAUACUUUUGCGAGGUGGGGUUGGGGUUUGGGGUUUGGUAUGGGGUUGUGAGAGAAAA